rnacentral:rRNA from 1 species
AUGGAGAGUUUGAUUCUGGCUCAGAACGAACGCUGGCGGCGUGGAUAAGACAUGCAAGUCGAACGGGAGAAUUGCUAGCUUGCUAAUAAUUCUCUAGUGGCGCACGGGUGAGUAACACGUGAGUAACCUGCCCCCGAGAGCGGGAUAGCCCUGGGAAACUGGGAUUAAUACCGCAUAGUAUCGAAAGAUUAAAGCAGCAAUGCGCUUGGGGAUGGGCUCGCGGCCUAUUAGUUAGUUGGUGAGGUAACGGCUCACCAAGGCGAUGACGGGUAGCCGGUCUGAGAGGAUGUCCGGCCACACUGGAACUGAGACACGGUCCAGACACCUACGGGUGGCAGCAGUCGAGAAUCAUUCACAAUGGGGGAAACCCUGAUGGUGCGACGCCGCGUGGGGGAAUGAAGGUCUUCGGAUUGUAAACCCCUGUCAUGUGGGAGCAAAUUAAAAAGAUAGUACCACAAGAGGAAGAGACGGCUAACUCUGUGCCAGCAGCCGCGGUAAUACAGAGGUCUCAAGCGUUGUUCGGAAUCACUGGGCGUAAAGCGUGCGUAGGCUGUUUCGUAAGUCGUGUGUGAAAGGCGCGGGCUCAACCCGCGGACGGCACAUGAUACUGCGAGACUAGAGUAAUGGAGGGGGAACCGGAAUUCUCGGUGUAGCAGUGAAAUGCGUAGAUAUCGAGAGGAACACUCGUGGCGAAGGCGGGUUCCUGGACAUUAACUGACGCUGAGGCACGAAGGCCAGGGGAGCGAAAGGGAUUAGAUACCCCUGUAGUCCUGGCAGUAAACGGUGCACGCUUGGUGUGCGGGGAAUCGACCCCCUGCGUGCCGGAGCUAACGCGUUAAGCGUGCCGCCUGGGGAGUACGGUCGCAAGAUUAAAACUCAAAGAAAUUGACGGGGACCCGCACAAGCGGUGGAGUAUGUGGCUUAAUUCGAUGCAACGCGAAGAACCUUACCUGGGCUUGACAUGUAAUGAACAACAUGUGAAAGCAUGCGACUCUUCGGAGGCGUUACACAGGUGCUGCAUGGCCGUCGUCAGCUCGUGUCGUGAGAUGUUUGGUUAAGUCCAGCAACGAGCGCAACCCCUGUUGCCAGUUACCAGCACGUGAAGGUGGGGACUCUGGCGAGACUGCCCAGAUCAACUGGGAGGAAGGUGGGGACGACGUCAGGUCAGUAUGGCCCUUAUGCCCAGGGCUGCACACGUACUACAAUGCCCAGUACAGAGGGGGCCGAAGCCGCGAGGCGGAGGAAAUCCUAAAAACUGGGCCCAGUUCGGACUGUAGGCUGCAACCCGCCUACACGAAGCCGGAAUCGCUAGUAAUGGCGCAUCAGCUACGGCGCCGUGAAUACGUUCCCGGGUCUUGUACACACCGCCCGUCACAUCAUGGAAGCCGGUCGCACCCGAAGUAUCUGAAGCCAACCGCAAGGAGGCAGGGUCCUAAGGUGAGACUGGUAACUGGGAUGAAGUCGUAACAAGGUAGCCGUAGGGGAACCUGCGGCUGGAUCACCUCCUUUCUAUGGA